UACGAAGGGGCUAGCGUUGCUCGGAAUCACUGGGCGUAAAGGGUGCGUAGGCGGGUCUUUAAGUCAGGGGUGAAAUCCUGGAGCUCAACUCCAGAACUGCCUUUGAUACUGAGGAUCUUGAGUACGGGAGAGGUGAGUGGAACUGCGAGUGUAGAGGUGAAAAUUCGUAGAUAUUCGCAAGAACACCAGUGGCGAAGGCGGCUCACUGGCCCGUAACUGACGCUGAGGCACGAAAGCGUGGGGAGCAACAGGG
rnacentral:rRNA from 1 species